rnacentral:rRNA from 1 species
UACGGGGGGAGCAAGCGUUGUUCGGAUUUACUGGGCGUAAAGGGCGCGUAGGCGGCGUGACAAGUCACUUGUGAAAUCUCCGGGCUUAACUCGGAACGGUCAAGUGAUACUGUCGGACUAGAGUACAGAAGGGGCAACUGGGAAUUCUCGGUGUAGCGGUGAAAUGCGUAGAUAUCGAGAGGAACACCUGCGGCGAAGGCGGCGACCUGGGUUGACACUGACGCUGAGGCGCGAAAGCGUGGGGAGCAAACAGG